rnacentral:rRNA from 1 species
UACGUAGGGUGCGAGCGUUAAUCGGAAUUACUGGGCGUAAAGCGUGCGCAGGCGGUUUUGUAAGCCAGAUGUGAAAUCCCCGGGCUUAACCUGGGAAUGGCAUUUGGGACUGCAAGGCUUGAGUGCGGCAGAGGAGACUGGAAUUCCCGGUGUAGCAGUGAAAUGCGUAGAUAUCGGGAGGAACACCAGUGGCGAAGGCGACUACCUGGCCUGUUCUUGACGCUGAGGCGCGAAAGCUAGGGGAGCAAACGGG